AUUGAACGCUGGCGGAAUGCUUUACACAUGCAAGUCGAACGGCAGCACGGGGGCAACCCUGGUGGCGAGUGGCGAACGGGUGAGUAAUACAUCGGAACGUGCCCGGUCGUGGGGGAUAACGUAGCGAAAGUUACGCUAAUACCGCAUACGAUCUGAGGAUGAAAGCGGGGGACCUUCGGGCCUCGCGCGAUCGGAGCGGCCGAUGUCAGAUUAGGUAGGUGGUGGGGUAAAGGCCUACCAAGCCGACGAUCUGUAGCUGGUCUGAGAGGACGACCAGCCACACUGGGACUGAGACACGGCCCAGACUCCUACGGGAGGCAGCAGUGGGGAAUUUUGGACAAUGGGCGCAAGCCUGAUCCAGCCAUUCCGCGUGCAGGACGAAGGCCUUCGGGUUGUAAACUGCUUUUGUAUGGAACGAAAAGGCUCUGGCUAAUACCUGGGGCUCAUGACGGUACCGUAAGAAUAAGCACCGGCUAACUACGUG
rnacentral:rRNA from 1 species